rnacentral:rRNA from 1 species
UACGGAGGGUGCAAGCGUUAUCCGGAUUCACUGGGUUUAAAGGGUGCGUAGGUGGGCAGGUAAGUCAGUGGUGAAAUCUCCGGGCUUAACCCGGAAACUGCCAUUGAUACUAUUUGUCUUGAAUACUGUGGAGGUCAGCGGAAUAUGUCAUGUAGCGGUGAAAUGCUUAGAUAUGACAUAGAACACCGAUCGCGAAGGCAGCUAACGAAGCUAGUACUGACACUGAUGCACGAAAGCGUGGGGAGCAAACAGG